CACAGCAGGGACCAGCGGAAUCCAUCGUCAUUGAAAGGGGUUUCAAGGGAGGGUAAAACCCUUCUUUAACAAAGUGUUUUAGCAAAGGAAGUUGAAAACAAAAGUUGACAUGAAGGCUGAGGUUGAGGCUGUGGUGAAGGAUAAGCAGAAGCUGAGGGACUGCUGCAAGGGUGACAUCAACUCGGGCUGGAGAGAGCAGCAAUCUUGUCAGAAGAACUGUGGAGGCGCAGGUGACAGCCCUUCACCAUAAUCAGGAAGCAGAACACCAUCAUGACUAACAAGGAAGAAGAAGAAGCAGCAGAGGUCCUGGGAAGGGGACAAAGAAGAUGGGAGGGCAAAGGACUCCGACACACUGACCUCAGGAUAAACAGAUGAUGCAGUGAACUGGGCCCAGAAAUAAACUUGACUUUCGCGGUCGUUUGGUUUUGGCACGAUCAUCGGUGGGGGAGAUGCGCAACCUCCACAGACAAAAGAAUCAAACCAACCCCCACCUCACAGCAGAUACAGAAAUGAACUCAAAAUUGACUGAAGGCGCAGAUAUAACAGCAAAAACUGAAAAGCUCAGAAGACAGAGGGUCUGUUAUUCUGACAGGCUGAAGCUUUGCUGGCACCGACCCAGCUGAGUCAUGAGUGCAGCCCGUGCAGCUCUGAGCUGGGCAGCACCACGGACUGGCUGAAAGAAUCCAAUCCUGAAAGCAAAUCUGUAGCGUGAAUUCUAGCUGGUCUUAAUAAAAACACAGCGACAGAUACUGGGGUUAAAACUGAAGAUCAGAGAAGCAAGGUGGUCAGCCACUAGAAAGUUCUCACCUCUGCCAACGCUCAGACAGAAGGAGUGAACCACUGAACCUCAGAUUGCAUCUCCAGACUGCAUCUGUCUCCACCACACCUCAGACUGCACUGAGCCCG